rnacentral:rRNA from 1 species
AACUUUCAACAACGGAUCUCUUGGUUCUGGCAUCGAUGAAGAACGCAGCAAAAUGCGAUAAGUAAUGUGAAUUGCAGAAUUCAGUGAAUCAUCGAAUCUUUGAACGCACAUUGCGCCCCUUGGUAUUCCGAGGGGCAUGCCUGUUCGAGCGUCAUUUC